GUAUCUUCGGAUAUGAGUGGAGCGGCGGACGGGUGAGUAACGCGUAGGAAUCUACCUAGUAGAAGGGGAUAGCCCGGGGAAACUCGGAUUAAUACCGUAUACCUCCUUCGGGAGAAAGAAGGCCUCUCAUUGAAGCUUUCGCUACUAGAUGAGCCUGCGUAAGAUUAGCUUGUUGGUGAGGUAAAGGCUCACCAAGGCGACGAUCUUUAGCGGGUCUGAGAGGACGAUCCGCCACAUUGGGACUGAGACACGGCCCAGACUCCUACGGGAGGCAGCAGUGGGGAAUAUUGGACAAUGGGCGCAAGCCUGAUCCAGCCAUACCGCGUGUGUGAAGAAGGCCCUAGGGUUGUAAAGCACUUUAAGUUGGGAAGAAAAGUUAUUGGUUAAUACCCAAUAGCCGUGACAUUACCAUCAGAAUAAGGACCGGCUAAUUCCGUGCCAGCAGCCGCGGUAAUACGGAAGGUCCAAGCGUUAAUCGGAAUUACUGGGCGUAAAGCGCGCGUAGGUGGUUUAUUAAGUUGGAUGUGAAAUCCCCGGGCUCAACCUGGGAACUGCAUCCAAAACUGAUUCACUAGAGUACGAUAGAGGGAGGUAGAAUUCACAGUGUAGCGGUGGAAUGCGUAGAUAUUGUGAAGAAUACCAAUGGCGAAGGCAGCCUCCUGGAUCUGUACUGACACUGAGGUGCGAAAGCGUGGGUAGCGAACAGGAUUAGAUACCCUGGUAGUCCACGCCGUAAACGAUGUCAACUAGCUGUUGGGGAACUAUGUUCUUCAGUGGCGCAGCUAACGUAGUAAGUUGACCGCCUGGGGAGUACGGCCGCAAGGCUAAAACUCAAAUGAAUUGACGGGGACCCGCACAAGCGGUGGAGCAUGUGGUUUAAUUCGAUGCAACGCGAAAAACCUUACCUAUACUUGACAUACUUGGAAUGCUUUGUAAUGAAGCAGUGCCUUCGGGAGCCAAGAUACAGGUGCUGCAUGGCUGUCGUCAGCUCGUGUCGUGAG
rnacentral:rRNA from 1 species